GCUGGCUAGCUCCGACCCCCUAUAUAGUGGUUUUUAACACUACAGGGUCAGGAAUACAUUUUUGUGUCCCUUUAAACAUAAUGCAGCUGAAGCACUAAUCACGGAGCUGUCUUACCAACUAAACAUUAAGGGAGCACUAUAGGGUCAGGAACACAAACAUGUAUUCCUGACCCUAUGGUGUUAAAACCACUAUCUAGACCCCUUGGC